rnacentral:lncRNA from 1 species
AGAUCAUUGACAGGCCUGAGAGUUUUCCAUACGGCCUGCACCCUAACCUCUGGGAAGAAAAUAUCCACAAUGAAAUUUCUACAAGAUUAGAGGAAGGAGAGAGGCAACGGGGAUUCCAUUUCUACUAGGAGUAUCAACCUCUGAGAGGGAUAUAUCCAUCUCUGUGGAUGUCAUCUGCUCUGCAGAAAACCCUUUCUUGGAACUACCAGGAAACAUGAAUCUGAUGUGGACCCUCCUCCUUUUCCUCCUUUUGGACGUAACUGUCUUCAUUCCAGCCCUGCCCUUCUCAACACGACAUUUAGACAACCCCAGGUCGUGGGUCCCUAGAGGACACCACCGAUACUGUGAUGUGAUGAUGAGGUGCCGUUGGCUGAUCUAUAGGGGUAAAUGCGAGCAGAUCCACACAUUCAUUCAUAGAAUCUGACCACCAUAGCAGAUUUCUGCAGAACUCCACCACUGCCCUGUACCAACAGCCCCUCCAUGUGCAGCUGCCACAACAGUACUCAUGAUGUCAAUGUCACUGACUGCUUUGCCAGCACAGGGACCCGACCUCUUCACUGCCACUACCAAAAAUAAGAAGGAGUCCACCAGGCCCAUGCGAGUGGGCUGCAAGAAGGGGGCAUCUGUUCACCUGGAUGGCUAGGUUCCUCCUGACAACGGCACCUGAAUGACUUGCACCCUACGCCUUCAAAUCUGUGCAGCACUGUCAAGGUCUUCUUUGUAAAUGCUUCGUCCUUUGCACGCAGGCUCCUGCGUCUUUCUUACAGCCUGUUCCCCACCAACCCCAUGUGCCCUACCCCUGCCACAGUGUCAGGGCUUUUGGUGGAGGAUAAGGCUGCAGUGGAGGGUUGGUGGGAGGGAGCCUGAAUUACGGAAAUAAUACUCGGGAAAAGACUUGCUCCAACCAAGCUGCUAGACAAUCCCCUUCUCCUGGGGCUGAUCUUCCCACCAGCUGCUCUCAUAAAACCUCCUGAUGGCUGGCCCUAGGUUUCCUGGAUCAUAGGGUCCUUCUGCCUUCUGCGGGACAUUCUAUGCCUUUCUCCUCAAUGGGCUCCUUCGGAGGGUAUUAGGGACGAUACCCUGGCGGGAAACCGCUUCCUUUAGGGAAACAAAUCACUGUGGCUCCAGGGGUGUCACCGGAAAAAGCCGUUUCCGGAGAAGCCGGAGGAGCUUGGGCAACUCCGCAGGCCCAGAGCCUUCGUGGUCUCCCAGUUCCCGUGGCCGUCGUAUUGGUCGGCAGGGGGCGCCGCGCCACAAGCUUCCUGCACAAGAGUCCAAAACUUCUUUCUUGGUUUCCUUUGAGACAGGCUGCAGGUUUCUUGGUUGCUGACACGGGUAGACGAUAAUAGGUGAAUAAACAAAAUCCAGCCAGCAUAAAUACAGUCUAACUGUUGAAGAACAGAUUUCUGAGUCUACCAUAACUUUCAUACACUGCAGCACUUUAACGUUGAACCUGCCACCUUCAGAUUCACACUGCAGCACCUCAGGUAAGAAGGAAAGGAAGUGAAUAUGCACUGAGGACCUACUUGUGUUAUGAGCUUUACAGUUCAGCUGCGCUGGAGAAGAGUUUAUUUCUUUCAUGGAAUCCAUUACAUCACCGAUCCCCUUCUGAAGGAGGUUAUUUUAUCCACGAGAGGAAGCAUCCAAAGGUGUUCAUAUUCUCUACCCUGUGACUCCAGCAGAAUGGUGACAAGGUUUUGAAGCAAAGGAGGGCACUUGACUCUAGGGCAGCCGUCCAUUAACUGACUAGCCCGGUGCCUGUGGAACAGAGUUGCGUGAGGAUUUUACCCUUUUGGAAUAAUCCAGUGACAAAACUGGAUACUAUUACUUUCAUUCCUUCCCCCGAUGCCAGGAGGUAUAGCUGUUUUGCCUUUGUUCUUGACAUUCAGCACUUAGCCUAAUGCUCGCUAUAAAAGUGCCUUCAAGAAAUCUUUAAGGGGCCAUUUUGGUAGGUCUGGUUGUUGCUGUGGAUCUUUUGUAGAUGCCCAUUUUUAGAUUAGAAAAGUUUCUUCCCUUCUGCUCCUGUUUAUGUCUCUUGAAUGGAUUGGGAAUUUCGUUGAAUGAUGGGAUUAUACAGCAUAUUUCUUUAAUCAGUUAAUGGGGUGAAUUAGAUUAGUUGAUUUUAG